AAUUGAAGAGUUUGAUCAUGGCUCAGAUUGAACGCUGGCGGCAGGCCUAACACAUGCAAGUCGAGCGGAAACGACUUAACUGAACCUUCGGGGAACGUUAAGGGCGUCGAGCGGCGGACGGGUGAGUAAUGCCUGGGAAUAUGCCUUAGUGUGGGGGAUAACUAUUGGAAACGAUAGCUAAUACCGCAUAAUGUCUUCGGACCAAAGAGGGGGACCUUCGGGCCUCUCGCGCUAAGAUUAGCCCAGGUGAGAUUAGCUAGUUGGUGAGGUAAGAGCUCACCAAGGCGACGAUCUCUAGCUGGUCUGAGAGGAUGAUCAGCCACACUGGAACUGAGACACGGUCCAGACUCCUACGGGAGGCAGCAGUGGGGAAUAUUGCACAAUGGGCGAAAGCCUGAUGCAGCCAUGCCGCGUGUAUGAAGAAGGCCUUCGGGUUGUAAAGUACUUUCAGUAGGGAGGAAGGUUCAUACGUUAAUAGCGUAUGGAUUUGACGUUACCUACAGAAGAAGCACCGGCUAACUCCGUGCCAGCAGCCGCGGUAAUACGGAGGGUGCGAGCGUUAAUCGGAAUUACUGGGCGUAAAGCGCAUGCAGGUGGUUCAUUAAGUCAGAUGUGAAAGCCCGGGGCUCAACCUCGGAACCGCAUUUGAAACUGGUGAACUAGAGUGCUGUAGAGGGGGGUAGAAUUUCAGGUGUAGCGGUGAAAUGCGUAGAGAUCUGAAGGAAUACCAGUGGCGAAGGCGGCCCCCUGGACAGACACUGAC
rnacentral:rRNA from 1 species